rnacentral:rRNA from 1 species
UACAGGGGGGGCAAGCGUUGUUCGGAAUUACUGGGCGUAAAGGGUUCGUAGGUGGCUUGCUAAGUCAGACGUGAAAUCCCUCAGCUUAACUGGGGAACUGCGUCUGAGACUGGCGAGCUUGAGGGUAGGAGAGGAAUGCGGAAUUCCAGGUGUAGCGGUGAAAUGCGUAGAUAUUGGGAGGAACACCGGUGGCGAAGGCGACAUCCUGGACCGGUAUUGACGCUGAGGCGCGAAAGCCAGGGGAGCAAACGGG